rnacentral:misc_RNA from 1 species
AAGUCGUAACAAGGUCUCCGUAGGUGAACCUGCGGAGGGAUCAUUACUGAGUUACACUCAAACCCUGUUUAAGAAUCUGUUGCUUCGGAGGCGCCCCUCGGGAGGGGAUUUGCUUCGGCCGCCUCCAAAAGCACCUUUACUCUUAACUCUGAUUUAUUUCUAUUCAAUUCCAAAAAAAAAUCAAAACCUCAACAACGGAUCUCUUGGUUACA